GACAGAGGUGCCGAGCGUUAGGCGGAAUCACUGGGCUUAAAGCGUGUGUAGGCGGGCGGGCAAGUACCUUGUGAAAUCCCACGGCUCAACCGUGGAACGGCUGGGUAUACUGCCUGUCUUGAGCCAACUAGGGGCGAGCGGAACAGACGGUGGAGCGGUGAAAUGCGUAGAUAUCGUCUGGAACGCCGAAGGUGAAAACAGCUCGCUGGGGCUGCGCUGACGCUGAGACACGAAAGCGUGGGGAGCAAACAGG
rnacentral:rRNA from 1 species